rnacentral:rRNA from 1 species
UACGUAGGGGGCAAGCGUUGUCCGGAAUUACUGGGCGUAAAGCGCGUGUAGGCGGCCAUGCAAGUCGGAUGUGAAAGCCCUCGGCUCAACCGGGGAAGUGCACUCGAAACUGCAAGGCUAGAGUCUCGGAGAGGAUCGUGGAAUUCUCGGUGUAGAGGUGAAAUUCGUAGAUAUCGAGAGGAACACCGGUGGCGAAGGCGGCGAUCUGGACGAUGACUGACGCUGAGACGCGAAAGCGUGGGGGAGCAAACAGG